GGGACCAUAGCUCAGAGGUAGAGCACCCGGCUCAUAACCGGAGGGUCGUUGGUUCGAUCCCAACUGGUCCCACUA
rnacentral:tRNA from 1 species